rnacentral:rRNA from 1 species
AUGAACGCUGGCGGCGUGCCUAAUCCAUGCAAGUCGCGCGAACAGACGAGGAGCUUGCUCCUCUGACGUUAGCGGCGGACGGGUGAGUAACACGUGGAUAACCUACCUAUAAGCCUGGGAUAACUUCGGGAAACCGGAGCUAAUACCGGAUAAUAUAUCGAACCGCAUGGUUCAAUAGUGAAAGACGGUUUUGCUGUCACUUAUAGAUGGAUCCGCGCCGCAUUAGCUAGUUGGUAAGGUAACGGCUUACCAAGGCGACGAUGCGUAGCCGACCUGAGAGGGUGAUCGGCCACACUGGAACUGAGACACGGUCCAGACUCCUACGGGAGGCAGCAGUAGGGAAUCUUCCGCAAUGGGCGAAAGCCUGACGGAGCAACGCCGCGUGAGUGAUGAAGGUCUUCGGAUCGUAAAACUCUGUUAUUAGGGAAGAACAAAUGUGUAAGUAACUAUGCACGUCUUGACGGUACCUAAUCAGAAAGCCACGGCUAACUACGUG